rnacentral:rRNA from 1 species
CAGUCGCCGCGGGAAAACAGAGGGUGCAAGCGUUAAUCGGAAUUACUGGGCGUAAAGCGCGCGUAGGUGGUUUGUUAAGUUGGAUGUGAAAUCCCCGGGCUCAACCUGGGAACUGCAUCCAAAACUGGCAAGAUAGAGUAUGGUAGAGGGUGGUGGAAUUUCCUGUGUAGCGGUGAAAUGCGUAGAUAUAGGAAGGAACACCAGUGGCGAAGGCGACCACCUGGACUGAUACUGACACUGAGGUGCGAAAGCGUGGGGAGCAAACAGGAUUAGAUACCCCGGUAGUCCCUGUCUCUUAUAC